GACGAACGCUGGCGGCGUGCUUAACACAUGCAAGUCAAGGGGGCCCGCAAGGGUAACCGGCGAACGGGUGCGUAACACGUGAGCAAUCUGCCUAGAUGUGGGGGAUAGCCGGCCCAACGGCCGGGUAAUACCGCAUACGCUCACCGGGUGGCAUCACCUGGUGAGGAAACAUUCGUGGCAUCUAGAGGAGCUCGCGGCCUAUCAGCUAGUUGGUGGGGUAACGGCCUACCAAGGCAUUGACGGGUAGCUGGUCUGAGAGGAUGGCCAGCCACAUUGGGACUGAGAUACGGCCCAGACUCCUACGGGAGGCAGCAGUGGGGAAUAUUGCGCAAUGGCCGAAAGGCUGACGCAGCGACGCCGCGUGGGGGAUGAAGCAUUUCGGUGUGUAAACCCCUGUUGCCCGGGACGAACAACUGGUUUCGACCAGUCUGACGGUACCGGGUGAGGAAGCACCGGCUAACUCCGUG
rnacentral:rRNA from 1 species